UACGGAGGGAGCUAGCGUUGUUCGGAAUUACUGGGCGUAAAGCGCACGUAGGCGGCUUUGUAAGUUAGAGGUGAAAGCCCGGGGCUCAACUCCGGAAUAGCCUUUAAGACUGCAUCGCUUGAAUCCGGGAGAGGUGAGUGGAAUUCCGAGUGUAGAGGUGAAAUUCGUAGAUAUUCGGAAGAACACCAGUGGCGAAGGCGGCUCACUGGACCGGUAUUGACGCUGAGGUGCGAAAGCUAGGGGAGCAAACGGG
rnacentral:rRNA from 1 species